GACGAGGGGUCCUAGCGUUGCUCGGAAUCAUUGGGCGUAAAGCGGAUGUAGGCGGCUUUGCAAGUCGGAAGUGAAAGCCCUGGGCUUAACCCAGGAAGUGCUUUCGAAACUGCGAAGCUUGAGUGUGGGAGAGGAUAGUGGAAUACCUGGUGUAGUGGUGAAAUACGUAGAUAUCAGGUGGAACUCCGGUGGCGAAGGCGGCUAUCUGGCCCAACACUGACGCUGAGAUCCGAAAGCGUGGGGAUCAAACAGG
rnacentral:rRNA from 1 species